GACGAACGCUGGCGGCGUGCUUAACACAUGCAAGUCGAACGAUGAAGCUAGAGCUUGCUCUGGUGAAUUAGUGGCGAACGGGUGAGUAACACGUGAUUAACCUGCCCCGAACUCUGGGAUAACUGCUGGAAACGGUAGCUAAUACUGGAUACGACCUACGAAGGCAUCUUCAGUAGGUGGAUUGAAUUUAGGAUCGGGAUGGACUCGCGGCCUUUCAGCUUGUUGGUGAGGUAAUGGCUCACCAAGGCGACGACGGGUAGCCGGCCUGAGAGGGUGACCGGCCACACUGGGACUGAGACACGGCCCAGACUCCUACGGGAGGCAGCAGUGGGGAAUAUUGCACAAUGGGCGCAAGCCUGAUGCAGCAACGCCGCGUGAGGGAUGACGGCCUUCGGGUUGUAAACCUCUUUUGGUAGGGAAGAAGCGAAAGUGACGGUACCUGCAGAAAAAGCACCGGCUAACUACGUGCCAGCAGCCGCCGUAA
rnacentral:rRNA from 1 species